CCUACGGGUGGCUGCAGUGAGGAAUAUUGGUCAAUGGACGAGAGUCUGAACCAGCCAUGUAGCGUGAAGGAUGACUGCCCUAUGGGUUGUAAACUUCUUUUAUAUGGGAAUAAAAUGUUCCACGUGUGGGUUUUUGUAUGUACCAUAUGAAUAAGGAUCGGCUAACUCCGUGCCAGCAGCCGCGGUAAUACGGAGGAUCCGAGCGUUAUCCGGAUUUAUUGGGUUUAAAGGGAGCGUAGGUGGAUUGUUAAGUCAGUUGUGAAAGUUUGCGGCUCAACCGUAAAAUUGCAGUUGAAACUGGCAGUCUUGAGUACAGUAGAGGUGGGCGGAAUUCGUGGUGUGGCGGUGAAAUGCUUAGAUAUCACGAAGAACUCCGAUUGCGAAGGCAGUUCACUGGACUGCAACUGACACUGAGGCUCGAAAGUGUGGGUAUCAAACAGGAUUAGAUACCCUUGUAGUC
rnacentral:rRNA from 1 species